rnacentral:rRNA from 1 species
GAUGAACGCUGGCGGCGUGCCUAAUACAUGCAAGUCGAGCGAACGGACGAGAAGCUUGCUUUUCUGAUGUUAGCGGCGGACGGGUGAGUAACACGUGGAUAACCUACCUAUAAGACUGGGAUAACUUCGGGAAACCGGAGCUAAUACCGGAUAAUAUUUUGAACCGCAUGGUUCAAAAGUGAAAGACGGUCUUGCUGUCACUUAUAGAUGGAUCCGCGCUGCAUUAGCUAGUUGGUAAGGUAACGGCUUACCAAGGCAACGAUGCGUAGCCGACCUGAGCGGGGGAUCGGCCACACUGGAACUGAGACACGGUCCAGACUCCUACGGGAGGCAGCAGUAGGGAAUCGUCCGCAAUGGGCGAAAGCCUGACGGAGCAACGCCGCGUGAGUGAUGAAGGUCUUCGGAUCGUAAAACUCUGUUAUUAGGGAAGAACAUAUGUGUAAGUAACUGUUCACAUCUUGACGGUACCUAAUCAGAAAGCCACGGCUAACUACGUG